rnacentral:rRNA from 1 species
AGGGAAAGGUGAAAAGCAUCCCGGUAAGGGAGAUGAAAUAGUAUCUGAAACCAUAUACUUACAAAGAGUCGGAGCGGAUGCAUCACAUUGCAUGUGAUGCUGAAUUAUGAAUAAUGAAUCAUGAAUUAUGGUCGGAAAAUUUUAAAGAGAUUUUUCAUAAAACCAUGCUUCAUAAUUCUUAAUUCAUUAUUCUGCAUCGCGCGUAGCGCGAUGCAUCUGUGACGGCGUGCCUAUUGAGGAAUGAGUCAACGAGUUUGCUGUAUGUGGCUCACAUAAUCUCGUUAAACGAGAGCAUGUAAAGUGAAAGCGAGGGUUAAUCGCCCGUCUCUUACUUUUUAGAAAGCAGGCCUUAAAAACCUUCUUUCUAAAUUUUAAGAAAGUCGCAUAUACAAGACCCGAAGCCGGGUGAUCUAGCCAUGACCAGGUUGAACCCUCGAGAAAUCGAGGGGGAGGACCGAACCCACGAGCCGUGCAAAACUCGGGGAGGAGUUGUGGUUAGCGGUGAAAUUCCAAUCGAACUCGGCAAUAGCUGGUUCUCCUCGAAAUAGCUUUUGGGCUAGCCUCGAGCGUUUCUUUCUGGGGGUAGAGCACUGAAUGAGGAUAGGUCGCAAGAUACUGUCCUUAACCAAACUCCGAAUACCAGAAAAUUAAGCUCGGGAGUCAGACUAUGGGCGCUAAGGUUCAUUAGUCUAAAGGGAAACAGCCCUAAUCACAAUCUAAGGUCCCUAAAUAUAUGCUAAGUGUAAAAGGCGGUGUUGCGACUGCGACAACUAGGAGGUUGGCUUAGAAGCAGCCAUCCUUUAAAGAAAGCGUAACAGCUCACUAGUCAAGUUGCCGCGCGCCGAAAAUUUAUCGGGGCUAAGCAUAUUACCGAAGAUGUGGGUUUUCUGCCUUCGGGCAGAGAGCGGUAGAGGAGCGUUCUAAAUUCGCAGAAGCUCACGUUGUGAAGCGGAGUGGAGGAUUUAGAAGAGAGAAUGUUGACAUGAGUAGCAUAAAGGCAGGCGAAAACCCUGCCCACCAAAAAUUCAAGGUUUCCUGGGCAACGCAAAUCGACCCAGGGUUAGUCGGUCCUAAGACGAGGCCGGUGUAAUGCCGGCGUAGCCGAUGGAUGAGCUGGUUAAUAUUCCAGCACUGCCGUAAUCUUCCGAUGGGGGGACGCGGUUUGGAAAUUUGAACGUUUCUAUGGUAUGAGCGUUAAUGGCACUGGAAAUAGGUCUAGGCAAAUCCGUACCGACAUUUUCCGGUGUUGUUAAAAGACGAAGCCUCUGGUGGAGUCAAUUCAAAUGGAAAAACCGCCCAGAAAAACCUCUAGGGUCGCCGCAAGGCGAGUCGGAUUAUGGCAACCGUACCGCAAACCGACACAGGUGAAUAAGUCGAGUAGACUAAGGUGUACGAGAGAACUUUCGUUAAGGAACUCGGCAAAAUAGCGGUCGUAAGUUCGCAAUAAGACUUGCCUGCGAUUGUCAAAAAUAGUGUUUUAGUCAUCGAGAAAGGAGGUGAGAAAAAAUGACACAAAAGAAAAGAAAUUUUUCCAUUGAGUUAAUCGGCGGAGAUGUCCGAAACCAAAUCAUUACGGUGGAGGCGAAAGCGCCGAAAGGAGUCUUUAUCUCCAUCCAGAUGUUGAAAGGCCGAGGAGAUAGGACUUCGUCUAUUGACCUCUUUGGAAAGCCCCUUGGUAGGGCGCCAUUGAUUCUGGUGAAGGUGACGAAGAAGUCGCCAGAACAGCCAGGACAGUGAGACUCCCAAGUUUCAUUCGGCGAUUUAUGUUCAGAAUGUAAAUCGCCACUAUUUUUGGCAAUCGCAGGCCGCAGCUAAAGAAUUCAAGUGACUGUUUAACAAAAACACAGCUCCCUGCUAACUCGAAAGAGGAUGUAUAGGGGGUGAUGCCUGGCCAGUGUCCGAACGUUAAGGGGAGAAGUCAUUCCGCCGCAAGGCGGAGGCAGCUUUGAUCCGAAGCGCGGAUGAACGCCGGCGAUAACUAUAAGUUAACGAUUGUAGUUAUAAAAUUUGGCCAAAUGCUGGAAACUCCGGAGUAAAAAAUGUACUCGCCUGAAAAAUGGCAGUGAAAAUCAUUUUUUGUAUCCCGCCAUUCGGGAUGCCGGACAAUCAGCAGGAAAGACUCUUAAGAAAAAUACUAUGAGUAAUCAAGAUUGGUUAAAUAAGAUUCCAUUAGAUUGGGGACAUUAUUUAGCAGGAUUUACUGACGGAGAAGGAAGUUUCAAUGUUUCUCUCCGCAAAAGAGAAGAUCAUUUAAUGAAAUGGCAAGUUGUCUUGACAUUUAAUGUAUCCCAAAAAGAAUCUUACAUACUUUCGCAAUUAAAAAAAUAUUUAGGUUGCGGAAGAAUCCAGCAAAGGAUGGACGGACUGCACAUGUAUGUCUGCUCAAAUCCGUUAUCAAUUCAAGAACGAGUUAUUCCGUUUUUUCGGAAGUUUAAUCUUCGUUCUCAGCAAAAAAAGAAUAAUUUUUCUAUUUUUUGCCAGAUUGCCAAUAAGGUAUUUAAUAAAGAACAUUUAACUCAUCAAGGUUUAGAAGAGAUUAUUAGAAUAAGAGAGCGAUUAAAUGAAGGCAGAGGAAGAAAAAGAAAAUAUGAGUUAGGUGAUUUUCAGCAAUCGCAAAAAGAGUAUCCUCAGAGACUAUACGCCAAACCGCGGAAGUUCAGAAAAGAAUUUUCAGCGGAUGAUAUAGUCCGAUCUCAUGGGCAACCAUGAGCUUCAGAAAUAACUUAUCUGAAGAUUUCAAUAACAGUAAUUAUUGGAAUUAACAAGAAUAAAUCGUCCUAAGGUAGCGAAAUCCCUUGUCGGGUAAAAUAUGUCGGACUCCGAUUUAUCGGAGAAACACUUGCCCGAAUUUGCCGUAAGGCAAUGCGCUAAGGGAUAAAAAUAAUUAGCGUAAAAUUUGGCUAUAUGCUGGAAACUCCGGAGUAAAAAUGUACUCGCCCUAAAAAGGCAGUGAAAAUCAUUUUUUGUAUCCCGCCAUUCAGGGAUGCCGGACAAUCAGCAGGAAACCGACUUGCAUUUUGAAAUAUGGGAGAAGGCGAGGAAAUGUUUUGGCGUCACUGGCCUAUCGCCCGAAAGGGAAAAGUUUCUCGAUCGCGUGCGAUUGAGAAAUAAGUUAGUGCGUCUUCACCCAGAAACGGGUGACAGCAGCUGUUUACAGUUUGCUGUCACCCCCAUAUUUCAAAAUGUAAGCGGGAUCCUCAGAGACUAUACGCCAAACAUCCAUAACUGGAUGAUGAUAUAGUCCGAUCUCCAUAGCGAUAUGGAGUCCUGUAAAAAUGUUCAGGAAUAAAAACAAGCAUCAUGAUGAAAAAAUCAUUAAAUGAAGUUCCGACCUGCACGAAUGGCAUAACAACUUGAAUACUGUCUCAACGAAGGACUCGGUGAAAUUGCAAGAUGAGUAAAGAUGCUCAUUAACCAUAGUUGGACGAAAAGACCCCGUGAAGCUUUACUAUAGCUUGAUAUUGAGUUAGGGGCGCGCAUGUUCAGAAUAGGUGGGAGUUCGCCGCAAGGCGGACGCCAGUGAGAUACCACCCUUGUGUGCUUUUAAUUCUAACCCUUGUCCGUGAAUCCGGACUGGGAACAGUAUCUGGUGGGUAGUUUGUCUGGGGCGGAUGCCUCCCAAAAGGUAACGGAGGCGUUUACAAAGGUUGGCUAUCCCGGAAUGGAAACCCGGGAGAUAGCGUAAAGGCACAAGCCAGCUUUACUGCGAGACCUACAAGUCAAGCAGUCGCGAAAGCGGAACUUAGUGAUCCGACCGUACGAUAUAGGACGGCGGAAGCUCAACGGAUAAAAGUUACUCUGGGGAUAACAGGCUGAUCUCCUCCAAGAGUCCACAUCGACG